AAAGUGGAGCAAUCCAUGAGUAAAGUGGCGACCGGGUGAGUAACACGUGACUAACCUACCCUGAAGUGGGGAAUAACCUCGGGAAACCGGGGCUAAUACCGCAUAACAUCGCGAGCUGUAAACGCUUGUGAUCAAAGGAGCAAUUCGCUUUAGGAGGGGGUCGCGGCUGAUUAGCUAGUUGGUGAGGUAACGGCUCACCAAGGCAAAGAUCAGUAUCCGGCCUGAGAGGGCGCACGGACACACUGGAACUGAAACACGGUCCAGACUCCUACGGGAGGCAGCAGUGGGGAAUUUUGCGCAAUGGGGGAAACCCUGACGCAGCAACGCCGCGUGGAGGAUGAAGUCCCUUGGGAUGUAAACUCCUUUCGAUCGGGACGAUUAUGACGGUACCGGAAGAAGAAGCACCGGCUAACUCUGUGCCAGCAGCCGCGGUAAUACAGAGGGUGCAAGCGUUGUUCGGAAUUAUUGGGCGUAAAGGGCGCGUAGGCGGUGCUGUAAGUCUGUAGUGAAAUCUCUGGGCUCAACUCAGAGUCUGCUAUAGAAACUGCAGUGCUGGAGUGUGGGAGAGGUGAAGUGGAAUUCCCGGUGUAGCGGUGGAAUGCGUAGAUAUCGGGAGGAACACCUGUGGCGAAAGCGGCUCACUGGACCACAACUGACGCUGAGGCGCGAAAGCUAGGGGAGCAAACAGGAUUAGAUACCCUGGUAGUCCUAGCCCUAAACGAUGAUUGCUUGGUGUGUCGGGUACCCAAUCCCGCCGUGCCGAAGCUAACGCGAUAAGCAAUCCGCCUGGGGAGUACGGUCGCAAGACUG
rnacentral:rRNA from 1 species